ensembl:lncRNA
UGUGCCAUGUAGUCAUACUGAACAAGUGUUAACUGGAAUAAUAAUUUAUUAUUUUUGUAAUUGUAUUAUGCAUUAUUCCAGUUUAAGGACGUCUUUAACAGGCUGUCUGCUGCUAGAUUGAAUUAUUAAAAUAUUUAAUAAAAUAAUGAAAAUAUACAUUAAGCAAAAAAUUCAUGAAGUUUAACCAGUAUGUAAAUCGUAUGUAAAAUAAAAAUGUACACAUAUAUGACUGUACAUCAUGAUUAUAUGAAUGGCUGUACUAUGUAAACAGGCUAUCACUAAUCUUUUAAAUACACUAAUAUUGCACAAAAGACAUGUUAGGCAAGGCUGUAAACAGGGCGUCCCUGCUGAGGGCCUAAAAAAGUUUGGAGACAAGGGAUCAUGAAGACAACAAACUUUUCAGGACAAGACUGUAUGCACAGUAGACUUAGUGACAAAAUAAAACGACUGUAAAAACUUGUAUUUAUGCAUUAGUCUAUAGUCUGCAUAUAUUUUGUGCAGGGAAUGAGCUCGGUGCUUUCUUUUCAGCGCCAGCAGUAAACAGCCUAGCUAAAGUGAUUUAUUUUACAAAUAUCCUUAAAUCCUGUCGAAUCGCAUGUUAAGGGAGAGUGAGAAUGACCGGGUUAAUUAAAGUUGUUGAGCGUAAUGCUCUUCAGAGCCAUGCAGCAGGGGCGAUGGGGGCAGACUUUUGUGCUGAUGUCGGAGUGAAAGCUGCAGAGCGUUUUUCGGUGAUGCUGCCGCCGCGUCCGUUCCUCAAGUUCGUUUCCAAGGAGGAGAGACGCCUCGCGCCAGGACUCCACCCCCUUCUCCUGAAUGCGCGAGCAGCUGCUUUCAAAUCCAACUGCUCAAUUCCAUUCAUCCUCGAGAGGGAACAAAAAAGUGGCUAUUUAUUAGAAUACUUGUUUUGUAUUGUUCCGCGUCACACAAAAGAGGCUUUAUUAUUGUGUAGUGAGUGGUGGGACUGGGAGCUGGGUAUGACUGGCCUUGGCACACUAAGUGUAGAUUUUAGCAAGGAUGGCGGUCUGGCGAGAGGCUUUGGCUGGGUUAGGACAGCGAUAGAACCGAGAGGUCUGUGUGAGGAUGAUUGUGAGAGACUCUGCUGGAAUUUGGCAGGCCCGCUGCUUGGAGAGGCGCCCCACGCUGUGACUCCCAUUCAGCGGUCCAGCGCGCUGUGAGGUUGGGAAGUUUCACUGAGCCGUGCACUCAAUGGCUCCACAAAGCUGAUUACAAGCCCCAGCGAAUUCCUGAAGAGACCGGGCAGCCACGCAG